GACGAACGCUGGCGGCGUGCUUAACACAUGCAAGUCGAGCGGAAAGGCCCUUCGGGGUACUCGAGCGGCGAACGGGUGAGUAACACGUGAGUAACCUGCCCUUGGCUCUGGGAUAGCUCCGGGAAACCGGAAUUAAUACCGGAUAUGACCUCGGCCGACAUCGGCUGUGGUGGAAAGAUUUAUCGGCCAGGGAUGGGCUCGCGGCCUAUCAGCUAGUUGGUGGGGUAACGCCUACCAAGGCGACGACGGGUAGCCGGCCUGAGAGGGCGACCGGCCACACUGGGACUGAGACACGGCCCAGACUCCUACGGGAGGCAGCAGUGGGGAAGUAUUGCGCAAUGGGCGAAAGCCUGACGCAGCGACGCCGCGU
rnacentral:rRNA from 1 species